GAAAGUAACWRCAUCCUGACUGUGCUAGAGGGAGCACAGCCAGGAGCUUGUGGGAAGAGGUCAUGCUCCUGCUCAGCACCUGUUAGACCACAUCUAGGCACUGUGUCCUCUUGAGCCCCUCCAGGAAAGGCAAUGAAAAAUUGGAGCCAAGUUUAGCUGAGGCUCCCCAGGAUGCUUGGAGUCAGAGCCUUGUGAGAAGGAGCUAAAGAAAUGGGAUUUAUCCUCUUCACCUGGAGAAGAAGGGGCUUCAGGUGAACCUGAUAGCAGCCUGCCAGGACUUGUGAGGGUGUCUGCAAGAAGACAAAGUCAGGCUCUUCACAAUGAUGGAAGAUUGUCUCUCCUUUGUGGGUUUUCAGAGUGCCUGGAACAGAGGACCCUCUCUCUUGGGUCAUCUCUGGAUGCUGCCAUAGAGCAACAAUGGUAGAAGAAUAGUAAUGAUAUCUGUUAUUGGAGUCAAAUAAAUCACAUCAAAUGCACAGGGGUCCUUACCAUUCUUAACAAACUUGAUGGAUGUGUUAAGACGAGCAACAUUGAUAUUCAGUUGUCCGACAAAUCUGCGGUAUCUUCCACAGUCACAGACUGUGCCUGAUGCAAUACAAAGAAUAGAGGAUUAAUCUGUUUAGAAGCAUUUGAAUGUGUGUGCAUGGAGAGUCACCUGUAGCCCACUUCCAAAGCUCCUGCAGAUCUGGGCUCCACUUAUGGAGAGCCAGUCUCACCAUACCCCACUGGCUAUAUUCUGCUGAUCAAAGUGUUUAAGGUUUUGGUUCUGUACACUCCCUUGCUAACUGGCUUAAGCAAGUUAAUACCAACCCAAAUAAUCAAUAGCUUUCAAGCA